rnacentral:rRNA from 1 species
GAUAAACGCUGGCGGCAUGCCUUACACAUGCAAGUCGAACGGCAGCGGGGGAGAAGCUUGCUUUUCCUGCCGGCGAGUGGCGAACGGGUGAGUAAUACAUCGGAACGUGCCCUGUAGUGGGGGAUAACUAGUCGAAAGAUUAGCUAAUACCGCAUACGACCUGAGGGUGAAAGUGGGGGACCGCAAGGCCUCAUGCUAUAGGAGCGGCCGAUGUCUGAUUAGCUAGUUGGUGGGGUAAAGGCCUACCAAGGCGACGAUCAGUAGCUGGUCUGCGAGGACGAUCAGCCACACUGGGACUGAGACACGGCCCAGACUCCUACGGGAGGCAGCAGUGGGGAAUUUUGGACAAUGGGCGAAAGCCUGAUCCAGCAAUGCCGCGUGCGUGAAGAAGGCCUUCGGGUUGUAAAGCACUUUUGUCCGGAAAGAAAUGGCUCUGGUUAAUACCUGGGGUCGAUGACGGUACCGGAAGAAUGAGGACCGGCUAACUACGUGCCAGCCGCCGCCGUAA